rnacentral:rRNA from 1 species
GAUGAACGCUGGCGGCGUGCCUAAUACAUGCAAGUCGAGCGAACGGACGAGAAGCUUGCUUCUCUGAUGUUAGCGGCGGACGGGUGAGUAACACGUGGAUAACCUACUUAUAAUACUGGGAUAACUUCGGGAAACCGCAUCUACUACCGGAUAAUACUUUGAACGGCAUGGAUCAAAAGUUCUAGGCGGUCUUCCCGUUACUUUUAGAUGGUUCCGCGCUGCAUUAGUUAGUUGGUAAGGUAACGGCUUACCAAGGCAACGAUGCAUAGCCGACCUGAGAGGGUGAUCGGCCACACUGGAACUGAGACACGGUCCAGACUCCUACGGGAGGCAGCAGUAGGGAAUCUUCCGCAAUGGGCGAAAGCCUGACGGAGCAACGCCGCGUGAGUGAUGAAGGUCUUCGGAUCGUAAAACUCUGUUAUUAGGGAAGAACAGAAGUGUAAGAAACUGUGGACAUCUUGACGGUACCUAAUCAGAAAGCCACGGCUAACUACGUG